rnacentral:rRNA from 2 species
UCUGGUGUCAGCCGCCGCGGUAAAACCAGCACCUCAAGUGGUCAGGAUGAUUAUUGGGCCUAAAGCAUCCGUAGCCUGCUUUGUUAGUUUUCGGUUAAAUCCAUAUGCUCAACGUAUGGGCUGCCGGGAAUACUGCAAAGCUAGGGAGUGGGAGAGGUAGACGGUACUCGGUAGGAAGGGGUAAAAUCCUUUGAUCUAUUGAUGACCACCUGUGGCGAAGGCGGUCUACCAGAACACGUCCGACGGUGAGGGAUGAAAGCUGGGGGAGCAAACCGGAUUAGAUACCCGGGUAGUCCCAGCUGUAAACUAUGCAAACUCAGUGAUGCAUUGGCUUGAUGCCAAUGCAGUGCUGCAGGGAAGCCGUUAAGUUUGCCGCCUGGGAAGUACGUACGCAAGUAUGAAACUUAAAG